rnacentral:lncRNA from 1 species
GCUCCGUACAGGGAAGCCUGGGAAACAGGAGCAACCAACCAACAGACAGACAAGUGCAUACAGUGCAGAAGCUUACUGCAGGGAGAGAACAUUGACCCUAAUGAGGAUCUAUGGAAGCCUGCUUGAUCCAAGAUGAAAGGUGGAGAGACAGUUUGGACAGUAAUCAAAACGCAUAUGGCCCCUUUGAAACACUUGGACUACGAUGUGAAGUUAACCCAUCCUUAGCAUGACAGAAUCCAGAGCCACCAAAUGUUGUAUCACAGUUAGAGGUUGGAAACACAUCCAUAGUGAGUAAUUUCCCAACAUAACACCGGAAGCAUGUAUCAUGUAUUUUUGAUACACCUAACAUUAAACCGUUACUCUUACAGUACACGCAACAUUUUCCUUUAACAUCUAACUAGCUACAGCCUUUUCCUAAAUCAUACUUAGUCAAAUCAAACAAAACAACUGUCACACUCAUAGCUUCCUAAGACUCAGUAUUUCAUAAUUGACAUAGAAUUUCACAGCCCCCAUUACUAAUUACGUACAGUAGUAGACGUUCAAAGCUAGUUUCAGUGUCACACACUGUAUAAUCCCUUCCUUUAAUGUACAGUCCCUUCUUUAAUGACCUCCUAUACGUUCCCCUUCCUCUUACAGUAAUGAAAGGCGUGUGUGAAAACGGGGACAGAGGGAGAUCAUCCGCUCUGGAGGGAAAUUUCCUCUCUUAGGACUGUGUCCUCGUUAUACUUUCCCAUCCCAAAGCAAGGUCACAGCGUCUCCC